GGUGUUAUAGCUCAGUGGUAGAGCAUGGCUUAGCACGCAAAGGUCCUGGAUUCAGUCCCCAGUACCUCCA
rnacentral:tRNA from 1 species